UACGUAGGGUGCAAGCGUUGUCCGGAAUUAUUGGGCGUAAAGAGCUCGUAGGCGGUUAGUCGCGUCUGCUGUGAAAACUCGGGGCUUAACUCCGGGCCUGCAGUGGGUACGGGCUGACUAGAGUGCGGUAGGGGAGACUGGAAUUCCUGGUGUAGCGGUGAAAUGCGCAGAUAUCAGGAGGAACACCGGUGGCGAAGGCGGGUCUCUGGGCCGUAACUGACGCUGAGGAGCGAAAGCGUGGGGAGCAAACAGG
rnacentral:rRNA from 1 species